AAAUGCAGAUUGAAAUACCACCGUGCACCCUCUAGGAUGGUUAUAAGGAAUAUGACUAGUGUUGAUGAGGAUAUGGAGAAACUGGAAUCCUUAGACGUGGCUGAUAGGAAUGUCAAAUGGUGCAACCACUUUGGAAAAUAGGUUGGCAGUUUGUUUUUUUUUUAAGCGAAACAUAUAUGUACUAUGAGACUCAGCAAUUCUACUCCUAGGAAUUGAAGAGACAUAAAAACAUACGUCCACAUAAGACACAUGCAUCUGUGUCACUGUGUACACAGUGUACAAUAGCCAAAUAGCAGCACUAUGUACAAUAGCCAAAAAGUAGAAACAAUUCAAAUGUCCUUCAACUGAAGAGCGGAUAACACUGUCUGAUGUAUUCACACAGUGCAAUGGAAUGCUAUUUUUAACACAAAAUGAACAAAGUAGUGAUACAUGGUGCAAGACGGAUGACCCUGAAAAGCAUUAAGUGAAAGAAGCCAGGUGCAAAAGAUGCCUGCUCUAUGAUUCUGCUCAUAUGAAGUGUCCAAAAAACCCCAGCUGUAGAGACUGAUUAGCAGUUGCCUGGGGCUGGAAGUGGGAGCAUGGAGGGAAUGUAAGUGAGCAGGAGGGAGCUUCCUGGAUGAUAGAGACGCUCCACAGCCACACAAUGGUGGUGAUGGCUGCAGAACUCUGCACAUGUCUUGAGAAUCACCGAAUUGAAUGCCUAAAACUCAGGAAAUUUCAUGGUAUACAAAUUAUACCUCAAUAAAUCUGCUUAAAAACAAUGAUAGUAGUCAGGCACCGUGGCUCAUGCCUGUAAUCCUAGCACUUUGGGGAGGCCAAGGCAGGAGGAUCCCUUGAGCCCAGGAGUUUGAGACCAGACUGGGCAAAAUAGCAAGACUCCAUCUCUACCAAAAAAGUUUUUUUUUCAAUUAGCUGGGAGUGAUAGUGUACAACUGUGGUCCCAGCUACUCAGGAGGCUGGGGUGGGAAGACGGCUGGGCCUAGAAUGUAGAGGCGGCAGUAAGCUGUGGUGAUGUCACUGCACUCCAGGCUGGGCAGCAGAGUGAAACUCUGUCUCAAGAUAAAUAAAUAAAUAAAUAAGAUGACGACUAUAGCCCAGCAGUAGUCUGAAGACCUAAGGUGUGGAAGAGCUAUGAUCCCCCUGCCCUUAUAAAGGAGGCAUGGGCCAGGCACAGUGACUCACAUCUGCAGCCCCAGAACUAUGGGAGGCAGAGGCAGGAGGAUUGCUUGAGCCCAGGAGUUUGAGACCAGCCUGGACAACGCAUUGAGCCCUAUCUCUACAAAAAAUAAAAUUUUAAAAAAUUAUUGUAACCAGGCAGGAGGAUUGCUUGAACCCAGGAGUUGGAGGCCACAGUGAGCUAUAAUCACAGCACUGUACUCCAGCCUGGGCAACAGAGCGAGACCCUGUCUCAAAAAAAAAAAAAAAGAGAAAGAGAAAGAAAGGAAGGAAGGAAGAAAGGAAGGAAGGAAGGAAAGAAGGAAGGAAGGAAAAGAAAAAGAAAAAAAGAAAAGAGAGGAGGCAUGAAGUUCAAGAAUAUGUAUCCUCUCAUCAUACAGGCAGGAGUUGGAGGGGCAAGAGCUGUUGUCCUGAGUUCCUGGGCAGAUGGUUGAGAGACUCACUCAGGCCUGCAAGAUGAUGAGAUGAAAAGUCAUCAGGAGAAAAAGAAAAAUGACAGGAUCCUGUGCCUUGGCCCACUCCAGUUCCUCUGCUACGGCUCUCACCCAAGUCCUUCUGGGGAUCCUUAUGGACAUUUGGAGUGCAAGACCUCACCCGUGGCCCUGGGACUGGCCUUCAUGAGGGCAGCAGCAGCAGCAGCCCUGGCUCUGGCAAAGCCCCAUGGGGCAGGGAUAGUGGAAGGGACAGACAGUGACGGACACACAGCAUCUCCCUUUGCACAGAACCCACUGGAGAGCUGCUUGGUGGUCGCCCUCACCAAGGAGGGCUGAGCCCACUUUCUCCCAUCUUUAUAUCUUCGACACCAAAAUAGAGGUGCUCAGUAGUGCUUUGAAUGAAUGAAUGAAUGAAUGAAUGAAUGAAUGAACUCCUAUCAAGUUAAGCUUUAUUACAGAAAAAUGAACAUGGCUGGGAGAUCACAGCAGACAAAGCAAUAAGUCUUUCAAAGUGGUUCAGUAUGGCCGAGGCUGUAUCUUUCCUACGUCCCGCUCACUGGAGCAGCUGCAGAGACCAGAGCUGCGGAGGCCAGGACUCCCAUAUCUGAGUCUCUUUGGGUAAUUCUUCUCUUUAAUAACACGGCUUUACUAUUACACAAAUAAUGUGUGCUUAUCUGAAAUAAAAUUAGAAAAUUGACAUAAGCAAAAAGAAUAAAAUAAAAAUCACCUGCAAUCCUUCUACCUGGAGAUAACACUAGAAACAUUUUCGAGGGAAGGUAUCAGCAACUAUUCCAAACACAUAACACAAAUAAUGACAGAAUUAAAAGGAGAAAUAGGCUGAGUACCGUGGCUCACGCCUGCUUGUAAUCCCUGCAUCUUGGCGGGGGCUGAGGCAGGAGGAUGGCUUGAGCCCAGGAGUUGAGAGUAACCUGGGCAAGAUAGCAACAGUUCGUCUGUGUGAAAAUUGACAUAAGCAAAAAGAAUAAAAUAAAAAUCACCUGCAAUCCUUCUACCUGGAGAUAACACUAGAAACAUUUUCAUACCACUUUUCAGAUUUUGUGAGUGUGUACAUUGCAUUAAGGAUAUGGUAUGCUUUAAAAACAAAACAAAAACAAAAACAAGUACGAUCGAAUCACACGGAACAUAAUGUUUUGGAACUUGCUUUUUCCCUCAAUGAUAUCAUGAACAUCUGUACCGGUCAAGGCUCUUUCCAUUGUAAAUGACAGAAACCCAACCCGAACUUGCUUAAGCCAUGAAGAGAAUGUAUCAUUUGGGUAAUUGGAAAGUCGGGAACUCGGAGGACAUCCUCAGAAGUCCCUCUCCAUUCCUCCCCCUUCCUCUGGGCUGGCCUCCCCUUCAGCAGAUUCUCCCCUUGUGGUGACUCUUGGCCACCACAUCCUCAGAGCCUGGCCAUCACAUCCUCAGAGCCUGGCCAUCACAUCCUCAGAGCCUGGCCAUCUCAGCCCAAAUAAAGCUUCUCUUUCCCAAAUGUUCAGAAAAAGCCUGAGAAGCCUGCGUGCUUGGCUGGGAUUGGCGUGUUGGGGCCUGGGCUGCCUGACUGGCCCCUGUGACUGGGGAAUGAGUAGCUGAUCUCAGCCCAGGGAUCGGGAGCCCACCCUGGGCUGGCGCUGCAGAUGGGGUCAGAGCUUGAGAGGGUGUGAUUUCCGAAGGAAGCUCUGUGCAAGGAGGAGGGGAAGAGGCGCAGGACAAGGAGAAAUGACAAAUUUCUCCUGUAAUAUCUUUCCUGCCCACAUACACCUCACAUCACAGUUUUUAUGCCAGCAUCAUUUUCCCACCAGCGGAGGACUAAGGCUUAUUUCACCAGUCCUCAUGGCACACAGUAGGUUACUUCCAAUGUUGCUAUUACAAACUGUGUUCUAAAGAGCAUCUUGAUGCUAAAUAUCUGCCUAUAUCCUGCAAAAAUUCCUAAUUACCUUAAAUCAGUGCAAAACAGUUCAUAAGCUUUACAAACUAGGCAGCUUCAGGGCCCUAGGCAAAACUGCAAAAUAAACAAAACUUCCUUUGGUAUCAACCUAAGCUGCAUUCUCCACCUUGUGCUAGAGAGCACCAUCAGUUCUGUGUUAAAACAGUGCUGAAUAUGAAAAGGAUUUCUUUAUUGUGGGAUUAUAAGUUUAUUUUCUUCUGACUACUUUAUAAAAUGCCAAAAGAAGUGGGCUUAAUAACGGAUUUUUAAAACCCACAAAAGUUAAACACCAUGUAGAUCUGAAUGUGGUUAAUUUUGAUUUCAAGUUCUGCUUUCCCCCCUGUAAUUUCUGUUCCUAUGUUUUAAAGGAUAAGUAGUCACACUGCUUCAUCUCAUUCUUCCCAUUCCUGCACUCCCCUCCCCACACCAAAUACAAUUCUUGGGAAAGGAAAACAACUUCACAUCAGGUUGAGAUUUAUUUUUCUCCUUUUAGGUACAGGGUCUCGUUCUGUUGUCCGGGCUGGAGUGCAGUGGUGUGACAACAGUCAUUGCAGCUUCAAAUUCCUGGGCUCAAGUAGGUCUCCUGCCUCUACCCCCAGAGCAGCUAGGACUACAAGCCCACAUCACCAUGCCUGCUAACUUUUUUUUUUUUUUUUUUUUCCCAGGUGGGUUUGANNNNNN
rnacentral:lncRNA from 1 species